CUUGCAAUAUAUGUUCCUGACAUUAGAAAUGUAUUUGGUGUAGUUGGUGCCAGUACAUCAACAUGUUUGAUUUUUAUAUUCCCAGGACUAUUUUAUCUUAAACUUAGCAGAGAGGAUUUUCUGUCAUGGAAAAAGCUUGGGGUUCAAGGGUACAUGUGAAAGCUUGUUACAUAGGUAAACUCGUGUCACGGGAAUUUGUUAUACAGAUUAUUUCAUCUCCCAGGUUGGCGUGCAGUGGUGUGAUCUCAGCUCAUUGCAACCUCUGCCUCCCGGACUCAAGCAAUCCUCCCACCUCAGCCUCCAGAGUAGCUGAGACUACAGAAAAGGAAGAGAUACCAUGGAGAUGUGCACCCAGAGGAAAGGCCACGCAAGGACACAGCAAGAAGGCAACUGUUUACAAGCCAA
rnacentral:lncRNA from 10 species